rnacentral:tRNA from 1 species
UCCCCGAUGGUCUAGUGGUCAUGAGUAAGUCCUAUCGACAAUAGGAGACCAGGGUUCGAUUCCCUGUCGAGGAG